GACGAACCGUGCGAACGUUGUUCGGAAUCACUGGGCGUAAAGGGUGCGUAGGCGGUGCGGAAAGUUAGGUGUGAAAUCCCCCGGCUCAACCGGGGAAUUGCGCUUAAAACUACCGUGCUAGAGGAAGAUAGAGGUGAGCGGAACUUCGGGUGGAGCGGUGAAAUGCGUUGAUAUCCGAAGGAACACCGGUGGCGAAAGCGGCUCACUGGAUCUUUUCUGACGCUGAUGCACGAAAGCUAGGGGAGCAAACGGG
rnacentral:rRNA from 1 species